rnacentral:rRNA from 1 species
GAUGAACGCUGGCGGCGUGCUUAACACAUGCAAGUCGAACGGAAAGGCCCUGCUUUUGUGGGGUGCUCGUGUGGCGAACGCGUGAGUAACACGCGAGUAUCCUGCCCUUGUCUUUGGGAUAACUUCAGGAAACUGGGGCUAAUAUCGGAUAGGAGCUCCUGCUGCAUGGUGGGCGUUGGUAAGUUUCGGCGGUUGGGGAUGGACUCGCGGCUUAUCCGCUUGUUGGUGGGGUAGUGGCUGACCAAGGCUUUGACGGGUAGCCGGCCUGAGAGGGGGACCGGCCACAAUAGGACUGAGGUAGGGCGCAGACGCGAACGGGCGGCAACAGUGGGGAAUAUUACAGAGUGAGGGGGAGCCAGAUACAACAGCGCCCGGAGCGGAAUGAUGGCCUACGGGUUAAGAACCGCUUUCGCCGGUGACAAAGCGUGAGUGACGGUAAUGAGUAAGGAAGCACCGGCUAACUACGUG